rnacentral:rRNA from 1 species
UUAUUGGAGAGUUUGAUCCUGGCUCAGGACGAACGCUGGCGGCAUGCCUAAUACAUGCAAGUCGAGCGG